GAGGUAAAGAUGUUCUAUCUUUCAGACCUUUUGUUUCACGUUAUUGGAUUUGGCUAAAUUCAGCCGCCUCAGUCAACCUUUUUGACUGGGGCGUUUUUUCUUUCUGGCCUUUUAAAAACUUAAUUCUCCGAUUUUUUCCGCAUUUUUUAUUUCUUCUUAUUUU
rnacentral:misc_RNA from 1 species